rnacentral:lncRNA from 1 species
UCUAGAUAAGUUUCUAGAAGAUGAAUAGGCUCUCUUUUGCUUAUUUUAGAGAUCAAACUAAGGUAUUGGACAAAAUGACAUUGUUAGGGCACCAAAAUUGGGACUUUUGCCCUAAAGUGAUUUAAAGGCAAAUUGACCUUAUAGAAACCAAAUUGGGGGUAUUUCUAACUCUUUUAUGGACUCGGCUCGCCGAUCUGAUGAGUCUACGCAAAGUUAUGAGCAAAAAGCCUAAUUCGGCUUCAUUUUGCCGCAGGCGAGAGAAUAGGAGCCCAAAAAUUUCGAGAUUUGAACCGUUGCACCCUUACAACCAUGGGUGGUGUUUUUCGAAAUCGAUGAAUUUUCUUUUAUGUCUAAAGUGUUAUUUCUGGAGUAUGGGUUAUAUAUGUGUCACGCCCCGGGGUCCCUUUCAGUUUAAAAGAUAGCGGAAAAGCGUCUGAAAAGUUUUUUUUUUUUUUUUGAAAACUUGACCCCAGAGUAUGCCAGAUCCGCCACAAAUACAGGAGAUCCACUGUUCACACGGACAGAGUCUCCCCUGUAUUUGCACGGCGUCGCACAAGUACAAGAGUACAACCAGGAUACAACCACCACUAGAUGAAUAUAAAGAUAACUAUACAUUCAUACGUUCACCAUUCACAUCACAGUUUUACAUUCAAUGUUUAAACAGAAAUCCAUGAAAAAUCCUUUUGAAAACUGUUUCCUACACGGAAACCUUUAUUCGUUAAAAACGCUACCACGAGGGGUAGAAAACCUUUUAUUUUACAAAAUCCAGAAAUCCACAUUUUCAAAUGUAAAUAAACACUGAACCACAUAAACCAACUAAACUAUACAUCGACCGAAAUAAGAAGGGUAAGAAACUAAACCGAACAACCUGGGUCGGAAGCUCUAUCGACCACUACGAACGUACCUCACGUCUCGUCCCAAUACACAUCGCCUGCGAUACCUGAAAAAUAGUGGGGGAGGUGAGAACAUGUAAACAUGUCUCCCCUCCCAGUGGGUACCGCAAGCCGAAGAAGGCGAGGAGUACUCACCGGAUCAGGAAGAGCUAAACAACAGUACGAGUCAGUAGAAAAUACAGUAGCAAUAAUAAUGAAUGAAAGAGACAUAUAUAUGAAAGAAAGUACAACUACCGCUACUGUAAUGAACAACUGAAUGUAUACAUGUAACAAGACUAUAGUAGCAAGACAAUGUAACGAAAGAACUGAAGAUAUACAAGUGACCACUGCUACUAUAGUUAUAUGCGUCAACCGGACAAGUAGUCCAAAAGUACCCAAUCUAUACCGCCGUGUCGGUCUAAGGACCUCAGGCAAAAGCCACUACCUGCUCGCACCUGGCAUGUAACCCUAGCACAAAGAGAACACCGCUGGGCUCACGGGUCGGAUGUACGACCACUUUUCCGGAAAAGAACACCCUCCUGCGGGGGAUCAACCCGCUGGUGUACGUGAAAUGCACUCGAGCUGUGGCGAUCAAUGCGGAUAUGAUCAAUAGCCAACCGUCGGCGACCAGCCGACAAUCACUGCCCCUCUGGGCAUACCGACCGUGUAGGUCAUCAAGCAAUAACGUGAACCGACCGAGAUAGGUCAAUGUACGGAAAGUAACGAACGACCAAACAGAUCACAGAUGCAAACAGGAGAACCGACCAACCAGGUCACAAGUAUAGUAAACAUGAAUGCCAUCUACUCUACCCCUAUACAGGAUACUACACAUAGAACAACCAGGCAGAGUAAAUAAAGAUAGUAUGUAAAUACUGCUCGAUGUCAACUAAAUGUACGAACGCAAGAACCGACCGAUAGGUCACAAGAGUGUAUCGAUAUAGUCCAGAGCUACCGUCAGCACCAGCCGACAAUCCUACCCCUCAGGGUUCACCGACCUCAUAGGUCAUCAAACGACGGAGUCAAUGAAUCGAUCGAUAAGGUCACAGUGCUAAGCCGAAACCGACUAACCAGGUUACAAAUGUGAAGUACGAGAACCGACCAAUCAGGUCACCGAAACAAAGUGCGAGAACCGACCAAUCAGGUCACCGAACGAAGUACAAGAACCGACCAAUCAGGUCGCUGAAAUCACGUAUGGAUAAACUACUCUACUCCUACACAUGAUACCAAGCAUAGAAACAUAUGAGUGGAGUACAGCAGCAACAAUAGGGAUGCAAGCUCAAUAUAUGAUGCGAUAAUAACAACAGAAGAACAGGGAUAGAAGAAAUGUCACCGAGCGUGCACCACUGUACCGACUUCGGAUCGAAGUACCCACCUGUACAAAUGCUGCGCCUGUCUCCUGACUGCAAAAGAACGUCAACCGGACCUAAGGAAGGUCCACCGAAUUAGAGUCUAACCCACAAUUAGUGAAUACGGAGUACAAAAUCCCACAACUAAACCCACGAAUAUCGGUUUCCCAAAACCGAUCGCCGUAAUACGUCGGAAAUCCCGUAAUCGCAUGGGGACUCUGUCGGGACCCACAAACUGUCCCGGAAUAUACCGACUCGAGCUACGAGUCACCUGCUGCCACUAAACAUAAAUAAUCGUGCAUCAUGGCAGCGAACACAACUCCUCACGUCGAAACAAUUAUCGUCGAAUAAUCAUUUCGAUUUGAGUUCCCGGAAGUGUCUAAUUCGACACCGGAACCUACUGUCGCUCACCCGUCAUUUUUGAACUCUCGAAAUAACGCGAGUGACCAGCCAACAAGGCUCAGCGACUACACAACUGAUCCCGAGGCACCGUCGGAUAAAAAUCGAACUAAGAUCGCGUUCCGUCGACGGAUUUCGCCGCGAAACGCCCCGAAAAUGGCUUUUCGAUCUCCGCAGUGGCUUGGGGCCUUGGACGAUCAGUCCAGAGGUUACCCUCAGCAUUUACACGCUGUCCACAGCGACCGAGUCGAAGUUAUUUGCAAGAAAGCACAUCAAGAACCCUAAAAUCUAUCAUUUUAUGCGAUUUCCGACAGUUUUAUGGCCCGAUCUUGCGAUACGAGGUUCGCUAGGUCAACCGUCGCACCCGCUGAUAGGUUUCAGCGUGCCGGAGACCGUGCUCACCAUUCGGAGCACAUUCGGCGACUGCGGUGCGCGCACGAGCGACGCGAAGGUCAGCGAAGCAGCGCGCACCGCAGGAAGAUCGCGGUUGCCCGAGCAACCAAGGCAUCGCAGGGCUCGACGGAAGUGAGCACGAUGUUCAGCACGACCUAAGGAUCAUCGUGCUCUCUUCCCGAGGUCAAAAAGACCAUUCGGAUUGCCGAAAUAGUUACCGAAAAGUGGGAAAGCAGUGCUGGAAUGCAUAAGUGGACACUCACAGUGAGGGGGGAACUAGGGUUGGCCGCCGACGGUAUUCCGGCAGGCGGUCCGGCCGGGGAGGGGUGCACCAGGUGGCGGGGCUCCGGCCUUCCAACGUCAGGCGGCGCAGCGGGGGCCGAGGCGGCGCGGCGUACCGAGGCCGCAACCCCUGCGGUAGUUGCUUUCCACAGUUGCGCGCAGCGACGCUGCGGCCGCGCUGGUCGGGGCCGUCGAGCGAACGAUGCCGGGGGCGAGCGGUGGCCGACUUGCGUCGCGGGUGGCGGCGAAUGCCCGGGAUGAAGGCGCCCGCUUCGGCCCGUACAGCACAAAGCUGCGGCAGGGGCUCCGCGGCGGCCGCGGCGCUCGGGUGCCGGGUCGGGCGCGGUGGUCGCUCGACGUCAGCGAGACCUCCGCGGCCUCGGAACGGCCAUUAGGGCUCAACACCGCAGCCACCCAGUUUCGGCCUGGGUGUGCCCUGGGGCCGCAGCGCGCUACGCGCUCCGCGGCCAUACUCGUAUGGGGGGGUCGGCGUGACGGCCGGCGUGGUCUGUGUUGGCCAACUCACCCGAGCCUGGCCGUGUCAGAUGGUGCCUUGAAACUUAACCUCGGCGCAAGGUGCGAUGGAAGAGGGAGGAAGGUUGAAAGCUGGGGAACCUUUUCCGGACGGCUAGGCGCUGCCGGCCGCCGGGCGUCAAGACGGCGGGCAGGGCCUCCUAGCGGCUGUGCACCAGGGAAAGGGCUAGGUUGUGUCGAUUAGGGUCAGGUUCCAUGUGCACCCUAAUCCUAAAUAUAUAUACACAUGUCAUUUUGCACUUACGCCGCCCGAACCUAAUAUUCCGACCGAUUCCACUGUCGCACUAGUAAAAAUACGCGAGCGCUAGAGUCCUCAAUAUAGAAAUCUCGCAAUUCGAUCCAUAAAAUGUCGGUUUCUCGCGAUAAAUUCAAAUUGCAUUUUGACACCCUUUGCUUCUUCACAUUCCCAGCCAAUUUCCUCCAUCGAUUACGAUCGAUGCGCCAGCCGUCGGUCACGACUAGUGUAUCGAAUCUAGAUCUUCUUCCAAUCCAAUUGUUCUGAGUCCGCGGGACGAAACCCACUCCUCAUCGAUCCAAACUAAAAACUCACAUAUAUUUCUAAUAUGUAAACCCGAUCAACACCCUUUUCUCGACAACCGUUUGCAUCAGAACUUCAAAUCUGUCCAGUGCACUUGGUCCAAAACAGCCGAACGUCGAAACGAGCUACUGACCUGAUAUGAACGGAGCCGAUACGCGCCAGACAGGCCAACUCUACUCCGUUGGCUUCCGUCCGUGAAAACCGAGUUACUAUCACUUAAGUGAAAAAUAAAGUCGCGUAUCUUCUCCAUUUUACUCAAUUUCCGACUGAAACUGACGAUGCUAUGUAAUCAAUUAUCACCACUAAACAUCAUCAACAAAGGUAGUAGCACCCUGUCAAAAAUCUCAGCCUUACAAUAUACUUUACAUGUUAAUUGUGUGUAUAUAUAAUAAUAAUAUAUAUAUAUAAUAUAUAUAUAUAUAUAUAAUAUAUAUACAUAUAAUAUAUAUAUAUAUAUAUAAUAGAAUAGUGCAACAUACUAUUAAAGUAAACACUCUUUUGCUAUCAAAUUUUUAACCCUGUGAUAAAAAUUGUAGGUCAGCGAUGAUUUAGCUGUUAGAGUUGAGUUUUCCCAUUGUUUAAACUAUAAUCAAUGUUGAAAUAAUGAAAAGAUUGAAUCAAACACGGCUAAAAACUAUAGCAUAGAUGUAAAUACUGUAGUAUUUACUUUUAUCAUAAUAUAUAUCAUAUAUGUAUCAUAUGUACAUAUUAUCAUAAUAUUACACAUAUGUAGCAUAUUGUACAUCAUGUUAAUAUAAUAUAGAUAUAUAUAUUACAGCGCAUAAUAAUAAGUUUUUAUUUAAAUAUACUUAUUAUCUAUAUGGAACCCUGAACCAUUAUCCGACCAUGAUUCGCAUCCAUUUCUGUAGCAAACAAGUAAUAAAAGCAUUUAGGCAUCCGACAUAUAAUCCUAUAAAUAAAAAAUAUGGAUGCAUAUACGAUUUUCGUUAAUACCAUCCAUAUCCGACUCCGUUCACCCCUAUUUAUGUGCUAAAUAUUAUAAUGCCUAAAUGACACUUUGUCCUCAACUACGGAGCACAUAAACUGAUCCUAAUUGUCUAUAUUUCCUAGCCCCAAAUUAUAAAUUACUAAAAUCAAAUCCCACAAUCCAAAUUAAUUAACAUUAACAUGUCUAUAUAUAAAGUGUGUAAGAUUUAAUCUCACUUUUCUCUCAUCAAUUUGGACAUCACGUAACACUUUCAUACAACUAAGUCCACAAUUUAGUUAAUAAAAUUUGUUUGAGACGAUUACAAUAAUUUAACAAAAUUUACAGCAAAUUAAAAUUAAGGACCAAAACAUCAUGCUUAAUUUAUGAUGACUAAGAUGUAAAUUUACCAAUACAUUAAUUACACCUACAUACCGAUACAUGACAAAUUCGAUGACAAAUAUAUUCUACAUAAAAAAUAACACCUUAUUUCUUUUUUUCCCGCGUUGGUUAGUGUUGAAAUUUUUUAACCGAAAACUCAUAAGUAAUACAAUCAGACCAAACUAAACAAAAACAAAAUUGGUGGUUGGAAUUUAACUGGUUUCAUGAUUAUCCACGCCAUCAACCCCUAAACCACUAUACUAUAGCUCUACGACAUACGACGCAUGUAAACCAAGAAAAUUUCUUGAGAUAACAAGAAGAAAGGCUAAACUUAACAGCAGCUCAAAUUAAAAAGGGGUUAAAUCUUCAAUCGACAAUUCUAAGUAAAAACAAUUGCUGGCCGCCUCUCCUGAUCUCUUAAUUAGAUUGAAAGAAAAAGAGUGAUAUUUGGAUUAAUAAUGGGAAACCUCCCUCUUAGGACCGAUCAAAAUGGAGAUACAAUUCACAAAAAUUGAUGAAAUGUUGAUAAGAAACCAAAGAAGAGCAACUCUCCAUCGAUCUAAAAAGAAAAAGACAUUGAACGUGCCGUCCUCUCACGCUUCUUUUUUGUUCUCAUCGAUCCUGAUCACAUGUUGCAGAAUGAAUCGUGGUACGCAUACAAGACCAAGAACAUUGUAACUGUGGCCCCCCCCCGGAAAUUCCCGAUAAUCGGAGCCAGUCAUCAUCUUUCUGCACUUGCCAUGGGCAAUCAUUUUGUCAGCAAUUUGUGGUGUUAACUAGAUUCCCCGUCACCUCUUAUAGGAAAAGAAGCAAUCACAGAAAUAAUCAAUCCGAAGUGAUUUUGGUCUCAAUAAAGAAAGGAUAUAUAUAACUACUAUAUAUCCAUUCCCCUAUUUAGCCAUAACUAAUGAGAACUUGUUAAAUAUAUUCAAUAAAAAUUUGAGCCGCACCUAUGCACUAUAAUCAACCUAAAAUAUACAUCAAAAAAUAAUUUAUAUUAAUAUAAUAAUAUUAAACAGUUUAAUAUUAUUUUUAGUUUAUAAUAUUAAUAUCAAAUAUUUUAAUUAACUUUUAAUAUAAUUGUCAGUGAUAAGAGAAGUAAUAUAACCAGAUAGAACAAAAUUUAUCAUCUUUCUCUUCUUAGAAUUUGCCAUCUUUUAAGCAUUGAGUAUAGUUACACAUGGACUGCAUACUUAAAAUUCUUAAUUGAUUUCAAAAUCUAAUUUAUUAAAUAUACAAUAACAUAUAAUCCUUGUAGAUAUAUUAUUUUUAAUUUUAUAAUUGAAAAUUUGUCAUCUAAUAAUAAGUUGCAAAUAAUAAAUGGUAUUUCGAUUUCAAUUCAGAUGAAAACAACAGAAAAACAAUGAGUCUCCUAUUUCCCAUUCAACUUAUUCCAUACUUUCCGAUUUUCAUUUCGAUCCCACUUUGAGCCAGGUCAAUGUAAUAAUUGUCUAUUCUUCAAUCAAUUUAAUAAGGUAAAACACAUCCUCUCUUUUCAGCAAUUUGAAAUAAUACCUUAAGUUAAAAAUUAAGUUAAUAACCAUAUGUUAUAAAAGAACUACGAAACAAUACAUUUUGGUUAAUUUAAUAUAGUUUCGGAGCAAUUUAAGCUCCUAAAAUAGCGAGCAGUAAAAAAUAUUAAAUAAAAAGUUAUUUUUUAUAAGUAGGCUACUGAAAUUUACCUUUAGUAAAUAUUUCUUUUGCUAUCUAAAAUUUUAAUAAUUAUGUAUCUUAAUUUGGAAAUCUAUCGCCAUAAAGUGACCGUGCACACAAUAUUAUUGACAAGAUUAGAGAGCAAUAUAAUCAUCUCUGCAACUCAGACACAAUUCAGUAAAGCAAUACUUCCAUAUGAAGAUAGAGCAUACAUGAUAAUUAAAGUAUCUUCAGUAAAUUAAGAUGAAUGUCCGAACUAACAUAAACUAUCGAGAAGAAAACAGUUAAAAAUACAAAAGGGGAUUGGACUAAAGGCUUCCAUCGUGUAGCCCAGAAAUGCUAAACUACAAUUGAAAAUUAACCAAUAAUAAAAAUUAAAUACACUAAUUAAAUUGGAGAACAGUAUGCAUGUUUUUGGAGUUCCCGUUCGAUGAGGGAAGGACUCGUGUAGCCCCUUCAAGCCAAGUAAUAUCCCGAUCGACCAUCAACCAAAACAUACAACGCUAAGCUAUAAUAUACCAUACAGCCCCUUCUUUUAUUGGUUAUCUACAAUUUCACUCCGUAAAUAUAUGCAUCAGCAUGACCGAACAAUUUUCGUACCAGCAUAAUAAUUAUUUUUUAAUUUUUAUAAACUAAAAAAAAAAAUUAUAUAAUUGCUGAGCAAACAAGGAAUGAUAUUAUCUAAUCCAUAGGAGUGAUGAUAUAUUAUAAUUAACAAUUCUUUUCGGAUUAAAAUUAAAUCUUGCAACCAUUACAAAAAUAAGAACAAAAAAACAAGCAGAAUUAAAAAAAGCGCGGCUUCGAUCGUUUUUGACGUACCCCGAACAUACGCCACAGCGUCUAUGGCAUCAAACUCAAUCUUGAACUGACGGCGGAGCAGCCCGUGCCCUCUGGCAGAAGCAUCCUUUGCACCAAUGCAUUCCUAACCACGCGUCCCCACCGCAAUUCACAUGUCUCCCAUUUCCACUACACCGGUCUCUGCACCACAAAGUGCGAGGCCCGCUCGCAGAAGUACGACCUCGCAAGUUCACCCCUCUCUGCCCGCUCCAUCUGCCCUCCACCACUUCCUGGUUGGCAACAUAGUAUUCAAGCUGUCACAACGCGGCUGGCGGCGGAACCCCACAAGAUCUUCCCACCACGGCCUUGGCCGAAACACCAGGGAGUCCCCGACGACAAUCUUCCGGUGACUUCUUAAAGGUCCCCAUCUCUCAAUCUGUGCGAUCCCCCCCGGUCCACUUGGGACGUGUACAGGAACUGCGACACAUUGCAGGAAACGUCAUGCACCGUGAUAAUUCCUGCGUGCGCCCCUGGGCUAUCAGCAUUGUGUUUAGCUCCGGAAACACGUCUUAGCCGAAGCAGCCGGCAAAUAACACUGCGUGGGCCAAAUCAUUAUCUCGACAGGAUCCUGGAAACCACGUGCCACCUCUUCUCCAUCCGUCGCCCUCCCGGAUCUGCUCAGCGCAAUUCAUUUGAACUGCGAUGGAUUGAGGGUAUACUGCAAUAGACCUCCGCCGUUUCAGGUGGCGAGAGAGAGCACCACGACACGGCAGCGAACUCGGACCAGUGCAGGAGCCGGAGCAAGAAUCCGGGGCCGAGGGACACUGCCUCUUCGCGCGUGCCCGCUCGGAAGUAGUAACACGGGACCCAGCGUGGAGCCAUCUUUCUGGCUCAGCGAAGCCUCCACAGCGCAUUGCACGCGCUACGGCUCCUAUCCCCAUCGGCUAGGGUAGGGUUCCACACCAGGACGAGAGAGAGACGAGACGAAAGAGAGCAAAAGAAGGAAGAAAAGGAUAGAUGAAAAAAGUAAGACGUAAUGGCGAGAUUCAUCACGUUUAUAGAGAUCGAGUGUCCAUAUUCCACAUCUGCCCAGCACCAAUAAUCACAAGCUCCACUAAAGACGUCAAAACUACACUGAACGGGAGUUUCUACCGAACGAUACUUUGAUGGUAACAUACCGUUAAUGACAACCAAUAAAAAUACCACGCAAUCUAAUUUCACGCUUUUAACUAGUGUUCUGUUCCAUAACAACCUAGUACAAAAGUUUUAAUACACGUCCGAAUGCAUCCCAUGAUUUAUUAUAUAAAUAAUAUAUACUAUUAUUUAAAAUCAACUACCUAAUUACAUAAAUAAUUUAAUUCUUGAACAAAUUAAGUAUAUAUAUAUAUAUAUAAUAUAUAUAUACUAUAGUAAUAUCUCGGCUGGUUACUCCUAUGUAACAUGGGACCUCCAUGCUACCUAAUUGUUUCAAUGAUCCCUUUCCAAUCGAUGCCUGCGCCCCGUUAGACUCGAUCUACCUAUUGAAAUAUUUGAAAAUUACAAUUCAACUUUUCGACAUCAUCCGGCUAGUGAUUCAAUAAGUGUUUCAAAAUUGCCAAUUUUAAUGUGAUAUAAUAGCGUUUGUAAUUAACAGUGUAAAACAAUUCUCAAAUUUGAAAAUUUUGUUUAGAAAAUUCUUUUCAUAUUUAGAGUAAGAUCAAAUCUCUGAUCUUAAAUCAAUCUUUAUCAUCAUUGUUAUAAAUUUUUCUGUUUCAGCCGUUCAUUAAAGCGACUCAUUGAUAGAUAAUGAACCCGAAAAAUUAUGAAAUUUAUUUCUAAAACUUCAAUAGGUAAAUCAAAGCUAAACAGAGCGAUCGUUCAUUUGGAGCGUCGCAAUUGUAGUGUCCUGGUGCCUUCCUGUUGCGAAAUUCAGCAUCUGAGCUUGUCGACACGUGGAGGGUCGAGACAAGUCGAGUUUGCGCGAAUUGGCGCAAAACGGACUCCACCGCGCGAAACGAGAGGAGCUCUAACACUAGAAAUCGCAAAGUGCACGAUUCAGUGUUGAGUACCGUACCUGAGACGCAGUAGCCGGUACCCCUGUGAUGAAGAGAUGGAAGCUCUCGUAUUUGCGCAUAUUGAUGCUGAGUACGGUACCUUUGUAAUACGCGAUACCUUGACCUGAGUAGCCGUACUGCAUCGGCGAGUACUGGUAUGAGUGCCACAACAGCGUUAGAGGCCAAUACCGGUAACCAUGUUACGUACCCCAGCUUCCUUUGAUGGUGGGUAUUGUGUUUCUUUUGUUGGUGUAAUAGUAUCACCUAUCCACCCCUUCAACUAUUACCNNNNNNNNNNNNNNNNNNNNNNNNNUAGUUGCGAUCGCGACGGACUGGAUAUGAAGCUAAGUAAUUUCGUUUCUCCGAUUUGGUUUUCCGAUUCACGACGAAUAUCCACCCAUCAUCGGAUUCAACUACAAAACCACAUAGUAUUUCUUUAUGGUAAAUCGAUCAAACCCUUUUUUCUCGACAACGCUGCAUCAGAACUCAAAUCCUGUCUAGUUGCAUUGGUUCAAAUAGCUGACCGGUAGAAACGGAGCUAUGUGACUGAUAUGACGGAGUCGAUAGCGCCAGAAGCAUUAUCCGUGGGUAUCUCGAAAACCGGAGUUACUAUUCAUUAAGUGAAAAUCUAAAAGUCGGCCGUUCUUUCAUUUUAGCUCAUUUUGCCCGAAAACUUGACGAUGUGCUUAUGUAAUUAGUAUAUACACACUACACAUCUCAAAGAGAGUUUAGCUGCACUGUCAAAAAUCUCAGUCUUAGCAUUCAUACCCCCUUUAAAAGAAGUUUUCGUCCUCGAAACUUGACACGUACCCACUUGUAGGCGAAUCUCUGACAUUGCUUCCACCAACGCUGGUACACCUUUGGAUAGUGCGGUCCGUCACAAUUCCUAGGAAUUGGACAGAUCAACCUCAGAAAAGGGGGAAUGGACUGCGGUUUCCAAGAAAAGACGAUGGGAACGUACCAAUUCAAAGCCUUGCGGACCAUAAGCACACCGGGAUCAACACCUCCUGUAACUUGGUUUCAAAGCUCACCGAGCUCGACCCGCUCGCUAAGUUCACGAGAAAAUCACGAUUGCCACACACCAAAAUGGAGUCUAAUUUACCUAAGAUCGGAGCAAUAUUUCGACUAGCCAAAAUAUCACUGUUGUCAACCACAGCGAAACGAAUUGUUCUCCUAAAACUCAGUUGGUAGAACAGCCUCGGACUAUAGUCUCCACUAACGAUUCACGCAACUGCGAAGUCAAGUCCAAUCACGGAAAGCCCUUUGACAUUCGAUAUCUUAGGUCCACAACCUCUACUUUACCUGACGAACAGGUCGAAGGCUGACAAUACUAAUUGAGCUCGCACUUCGGCUUGUCUCAAUUAAACUGGUUCGGCACUAAACCAAUAAACUCGCAUGCAGUCCAAAAUUGGGUGACAGGAUUGCCAAUCGCACCUAUCGGAUACAUCCAUCGUGAGUCAAACCUGUCUUACGAACCCUUCGCUGCCGUCCUACAAGCGGACUAGCGAUCGGGUGUUUCGAGCAGACACAUAUAAUGUUUUCAUGUAGACCUUGGCGCACCUGUUCACGAUUAAUUCGGAUAAGAUACAUUUUCAAGGUCGCACAAUUAGGCCGAUACAAUCUUACACUAAUAUCACUUACGGUGACAAUUAAGCCAAAACUAGGUCAAUGUCGGACUCAACCAAAAAUUCUUUGACCUGGCAAGCAACAGAUCGAAAUUACUAACAACAACCUUUUAGCUAAUGGGAGCACAACAAAACUUAUGACCCCAGACUCGAAGCCAGAGUCAGAACCACUUGCCAGUGAUGAAUAAAUCAAUCUGCGGCAACUGCCAGAGAAUCCAAGCGCCCACUACGUGGUCAAAGUAUGACCGAUACCCAACCUCUCACAAGACUAUCUACGUGAGGAAAGAAAUACGACCAAUCCAUAGUCCCAAACAGGAAGGCAAAUAAUUUGUUAAUCUUUCGACAAGCACCUUUGUCUGCCAGCCAAUGUAACUUAUCAAAAGAUGGAAGCGAACUAUCGAAUGAUCACUACCAACAACGAGUUGGAAGUGUGCACGUCGAAGAUCAAAACACUGAUUUCUCAUCAUCUGAACACGAGUUUCACAUACCUAUUACUAUCGAAAAUCUCAACUUUCAAGUCGAACAUUCGAACUAGAGCCGACAGUAACAACUCACUGGAGUCGUAAAGCUUUCAAAUCCGAAGCUACUAGCAGAUACUAAGCUGGAGAUGGCGAACAGUACCAACUGAGGCUGCUUAGAAAAUGGUUUCUCUAACAAUGUUUCGCCCACCAUAACGAGCUAUAAUCAAGCUCCGAGACUUCGACAAUUACCUGGGUCCUCGAAUCAGGUAUGACCUUACAACCACAUACUACCACAACACACAAAUUGAGAGUGUCUAGAAUAAUCGCUCGAUGUAUGCAUCAACAAGGACUGACCCAAAACUGCUGUUCAUUCCGACUGUAGUAGGAGGAAAUGAGACGAUGGUAAAGGUCAAAGCCACGAACCGUCUGAUUCCACAGUCAGCAUCAAGGAGGAUAGGUAGCUCACAAAACCUACCCAAGUCUGCGGAACAACACUAAAAUGCAGUCGCCUAAAGGACCGCCAAUCCAACAUGGGCUAAUACCUAGUAGCCCCAUAAAUCACGACCCUUAACAGAUCUCAUGUGUUCUCGUAAGACACUCGCAGUAGACUCAAACUGUGUCCUAAGUUAGGAAAGUAGCCGGGCAUCACGGCAUAGAAUAAUUGCCUCAUGCUCGAUGAAAUCGGUACUGCUUCAGAGCCCACCUGACAGGGGGGCACAACUGGGGGAACGUUAGCCCACCCAAAAACCCUCGAUGUUUCGAAAAAGACACCGCCGACUACUCCGACUUAUGACACUAGCUCUACUUGUGCGAAAAACCGAAGUACAUAGAAGUAACCCUGCACUCGAGUUUACACAAAACUCGAAUAAAUCGGGACACCAAGCCAAAGCCCGAACUCAGUGACUAUUACCAUAGUUUCCUACUAGGUAACCUACCAAUGGUUCAGGUUUCAUUUAUUUUCAAACAACCUGUGAAUGGUGUUGUGGUUGUAACCUUUGCAUCUGAUACACUUUAAUCUGUCACGCCCGGGGUCCCCUUUCAGUUUAAAAGUAGCGGAAAAAGGUUGAAACAGUUUUUUUUCUUUUUUUUUGAAAAACUUGGACCCAGGAGAUAUGCCAGAUCCGCCCAAAAAUACAGGAGAUCAUGUUCCACGGACAGAUGUUCCCCUGUAUUUGCACGGGGUCGCACCAAGCUACAAGAGUACAGACCAGGAUACAACCGGCACCUAGAUGAUAUAGAUAACUAUACAUUCAUACGUUCACCAUUCAAUCACAGUUUUACAUCAAUGUUUAAACAGAGAAUCCACGAAAAUCCUUUUGAAAACUGUUGCCUACACGGAACCUUUAUAUCGUUAAAAACGUACCACGAGGGGUAGAAAUAUUUUAUUUUACAAUUCAGAAAUCCAACAUUUUCAAUUUGUAAAUAAAUACGAACCACAUAACCAACUAAACAUAUAAACAAUCGACGCAAAUAAGUAAGUCGAGUUAAGAACUAAACAGGAACAACCUGGGUUCGGAAGCUCUUCGACCACUACGAACGUACAAUCAGUAUCGUCCCAUACUAAUCGCCUGCGAUACCUGAAAAAUAGUGGGCGAGGUGAGAACAUGUAACUAAUGUCUCCCCUCCAGUGUGGUACCGCAGCCGAAGAAAGCGAGAGUACUACACCGUGAUCAAGAGAGGCUAAACAAACAGUACGAGUCAGUAGAAAAUACGAGUAGCAAUAAUAAUGAAUGAAAGGAGACAUAUAUAUGAAUUAGAAAGUACAACUACCGCUACUGUAAUGAACAACGAGUACGUAGGAUUUCAUCGAAAAUAACUCGACCUAAUAAACGAAAUAAAUCAUGAACAAGAACAUAUAGUAGACCAAUGACAAUGUAACGAAAGCACUGAAGAUAUAAAGUGACAUGCUACGUAUAGUUAUAUGCGUUCAACGGACAAGUGUUCCAAAGUACCCCAAUCUAGAUACCGCCGAUGUCGGUCUAGACCUUCAGGCAAAAGCAACUACCUGGCUGCACCUGGGCAUGUACCCUAGACAAAGAGAACACCGCUUGGAGCUCACGGGCUCUGGCUAGUGAAUGCGACCACUUUUUUCUUCCGAAAAAGAACGACCUCCUGCGGGGAAUCAACGCUGCUAGGUGUAACGUGAAAUGCACUUCGAGCAUGUGGCGAUCAAUGGCGGAUAUGAUCAUAGCAACCGUCGAGACAGCGACAAUCAUCUGCCUCUGGGCAUUAGCCGAACCGGUAGGUCAUCAAGCAUAAGUGGACGACCGAGAUAGGUCAAUGUACGGAAGAGAACGACGGACCAACUAGUCAUGAUGCAAACAGAGAGAACCCGACAACAGGUCACAGUAUAGUAAAACAUGAAUGCCAUCUACUCUACCCUUAUACAGGAUACUACACAUAGAACAACAGGCAGAGUAAAUAAAGAAGUAUGUAAAUCAUGCUUGGAUGUCAAUAAAUGUCAACUGAACGCAAGAACCGACGAUAGGUCACAAGAGUUGUAUUCGAUAUAGUGGCCAGAGCUACCGUUAGCACCAGCGACAACCUUACCCCUCAGGAGUUCACCGACCUCAUAGGCAUCAAACGACGAGUCCAAUUGAUCGAUCGAUAAAGGUCACAGUGCUAUCAGCGAAACCGAUCUACAGGUUACAAAUGUGAAGUUACGAGAACUACCAAUCAAGAUCACCGAAACAAAGUGCGAGAACCGUGACCAUCAGGUCAUCGACGAAGUACAGAAGCCGACAAUCAGGUCGUGAAAUCACGUUAUGGAUAAAUUUUACUACUACUUACACAUGAUACCAAGCAUAGAAAAUAUGAGGUGGAGUACAGCAGCAACAAUAGGGAUGCAAGCUCAAUAUAUGAUGUGAUAAUAACAACAAAAGAACAGGGAUAGAAAAUGUCACGAGCGUGCACACAUGUACGACUUCGGAUCGAUAGUACCCACCUGUACAAAUGCUGCGCCUGUCUCCUGAUGCGAAAAGAACGUCAACGGAUAAGGAAGGUCCACCGGAUUAGAGUCUAACC